GACGAACGCUGGCGGCGUGCCUAAUACAUGCAAGUAGAACGCUGAAGAGAGGAGCUUGCUCUUCUUUGAUGAGUUGCGAACGGGUGAGUAACGCGUAGGUAACCUGCCUUGUAGCGGGGGAUAACUAUUGGAAACGAUAGCUAAUACCGCAUAACAAUGGAUGACACAUGUCAUUUAUUUGAAAGGGGCAAUUGCUCCACUACAAGAUGGACCUGCGUUGUAUUAGCUAGUAGGUGGGGUAAUGGCUCACCUAGGCGACGAUACAUAGCCGACCUGAGAGGGUGAUCGGCCACACUGAGACUGAGACCCGGCCCAGACUCCUACGGGAGGCAGCAGUAGGGAAGCUUCGGCAAUGGGGGCAACCCUGACCGAGCAACGCCGAGGGAGUGAAGAAGGGUUUCGGAUCGUAAAGCUCUGUUGUAAGUCAAGAACGGGGGUGAGAGUGGAAAGUUCACACUGUGACGGUAGCUUAUCAGAAAGGGACGGCUAACUACGUG
rnacentral:rRNA from 1 species